rnacentral:rRNA from 1 species
ACACAUGCAGUCGAGCGGUACAGGCCUUCGGGUGCUGACGAGCGGCGGACGGGUGAGUAAUGCUUGGGAACUUGCCUUUCGGAGGGGGAUAACCAUUGGAAACGAUGGCUAAUACCGCAUAACGUCUACGGACCAAAGUGGGGGAUCUUCGGACCUCACACCGAGAGAUAGGCCCAAGUGAGAUUAGCUAGUUGGUGGGGUAAAGGCUCACCAAGGCGACGAUCUCUAGCUGUUCUGAGAGGAUGAUCAGCCACACUGGGACUGAGACACGGCCCAGACUCCUACGGGAGGCAGCAGUGGGGAAUAUUGCACAAUGGGGGAAACCCUGAUGCAGCCAUGCCGCGUGUGUGAAGAAGGCCUUCGGGUUGUAAAGCACUUUCAGUGGUGAGGAAGGCUAUCGUGUUAAUAGCGCGAUAGAUUGACGUUAGCCACAGAAGAAGCACCGGCUAACUCCGUGCCAGCAGCCGCGGUAAUACGGAGGGUGCGAGCGUUAAUCGGAAUUACUGGGCGUAAAGCGUACGUAGGCGGCUCAUUAAGCAAGAUGUGAAAGCCCCGGGCUCAACCUGGGAAUGGCAUUUUGAACUGGUGAGCUCGAGUUUUGAAGAGGGUGGUAGAAUUUCCAGUGUAGCGGUGAAAUGCGUAGAUAUUGGAAGGAAUACCAGUGGCGAAGGCGGCCACCUGGUCAAGAACUGACGCUGAGGUACGAAAGCGUGGGGAGCAAACAGGAUUAGAUACCCUGGUAGUCCACGCCGUANACGAUGUCAACUAGUUGUUCGUUUCAUAAACGAAGUGAGUAACGCAGCUAACGCACUAAGUUGACCGCCUGGGGAGUACGGCCG